rnacentral:rRNA from 1 species
AACGAACGCUGGCGGCAUGCCUAACACAUGCAAGUCGAACGAGAACUCCGUGCCUUGUUGCGCUCGGGUGCGUAACGCGGGGGAAGCUGCCCGUAGGUACCGAAUCCUUCACUUUGGGGGGUGCUAAUGCAGGAUAGUGUAUUCGGACAAAGGAUUUAUCGCCGUUGGCUGGGCCCGGGUUGGUUUAGCUGGUUGGUAGUGUACAAGCCUAUCAAGGGGACGAUGCUUAGCUGGUCUGAGAGCAAGAUCAGCCACACUGGGACUGAGACACGGCCCAGACUCCUACGGGAGGCAGCAGAGGAGAAUAUUGGACGAUGGGCGAAAGCCUGAUCCAGCCACGCCGCGUAAGUGAUGAUGGCGGUAGGGUUGUGAAGCUCUUUGACCCGGGAUGAUAAUGACGGUACCGGGAGAAUAAGCACCGGCUAACUCCGUG